CCAGAGCUCCCCAUAGGCCUCCACUUGAAGCCCAGUAUGGGGGCUUCAAGCCCUCACCGCCCAGCAACACCCUUCAGAUGCCCUCACUGUGGCAGAAAGGGAGACCAAGGGCUAGAACAGGUGAAGAGGGGCUUCGGGGGGUUCUGCAUCCUCCUUGCAAACCCCACAACCUCCAUGGGCUGAUCACCCACACCUGGACAUUGUAGCAGCUGCCCCAGAGGUGGGUCCCCCCCACCCUGCCAGCUGCUCAGAGCAACCCUUUCUGAGGACCCUGCCCCUCCGUGGCCCCCACAUUUCUCCCUGGUGUGGGUUCUCAGGAGACAACACCCCACAACCAUCAUGUGUCCAGAUGCUAAGAGAUGAACUGGGUUUGUCAUCUCCUAUCUCCAACAGGAUGCAGGUGCAGGUGCCUGGGGUACAAGUGACUGCAGAUUCAGACCUCAGAAUGCACGACACAGGGCCUCACAUCUCUCCCCUCCUACCUCCUGUACCUGGAGCCAAACCCCAGGGACCCAUGGCCCCAGGAAAGCUGAUCAGCAACUGCUCCACACAAUUUCCUGGUAACUGACUCCUGCUCACCCUCAGCACACACACGCCUUGAGCCUCCACCAGACUCUGGGCUUGCAGCCUGGUCGAGGUGGUCUCAUGAACAAGAACAUGUGAUAGGGCUGGAGUGCAGAGGUCAGUGGGAGACACCACACCCAGCCUGGGAGGGGGUGGGGAAUUGGGGAAGGCUUCCUGGAGGAGAUGUCACAAUCAACAAACUGAAGCCUGGGGGGGCGGGGGCCGGGCAGUGGCAAUGGAGUGUGGGAAAGAGAGAGUCACGGGGAGAAGACGGUGGCUGGAGACAUCAGAGAGAAAGGAAGGAGGAAGGCGAGGAUGGCCUUCAUCUAAACCCUGACCUCCAAGUUUUCCACCAAGGCACUGUUCCUGUUCCUGGAGGAACAGAGACCAAGCCAGUAGGUCUUCUGCGUGGUCACUGUGUUUGUCUCCCCACUUCACAGGUGAGAAAACUGAGGCCCCUACACACACACACACACACACACACUCUCUCUCUCUCUCUCUCUCCCUCCCUCCCCCCACCCCAGGCACCUUCAAGAUCAAUCACAGUGCUGGAACUGGGCCCUAGGCCUCUGGACUCCCUAUCCAGUGCUCAUCCCACAUAAGCAUUUCAAGUUGUCUUUCUCCAAGGCACAGCAGUAAGCAUCCCCAAGUGUCCAUCAGUCCAUGAGGACUGCCCUCUGCCCUUACAAGAGGCCCUGGGUCCAUGCACCUGCUAUGUGAGUCGGGCAUGGUCUCCAGCCAUCACCAAGCUAGACUUUUUACUGCACAGGUAGCUGUGGUGAAUGGCUCCAUUGCACAGAUGAGAAAGCUGAGGCCAAGGAUGUGCCCGAAGUCACCUAGCUAGAACAGACAGAGGUGGGCUGUAAGCUUGAUGUUUCUCGCUGCUAUAUCGAUGCCUCCCCAGGGGACAUCCUGUGACAGCAAGGGGCAGGGCACUGGGCUGGUGGCCGCCAGGGUACCAGACAAUGCUGCGUGUCCCCCAAAGGUUCGUGCAUUGGAAACGUAAUCCCCAAAUUCCUGUGUCAGUGGUAUUGGGAGGUGACAAGGAUGAGAUGAGUUCAUGUGGGUAGAAACCCCAGGAUGCAUCUGUGGCUUUAUGAGGUGAGGAAGAGGGGCUGCAGCACAGGUUCAUGUCCCAGCUGUCCCACUUCCUUCCAAUCCAGCUCCCUGCUAUGGCCUGGAAAGGCAGCGGAACAUAGCCCAAGUGCUUGGGCCCCUGCACCCACAUGGGAGCCCCGGGUGCAGUUCCAGGCUCCUGGCUUCAGGCUGGCCCAGCCCUAACUGUUGCAGGCAUUUGGGAAAUGAACCAGUGGAUGAAAGAUUCAUCCCCCCCGCCCCUCCUUCCCUCCAUUUCUCUCUCUCUCUCCCUCUCUCCUUCUCUCCCUCUCUCCCUCUCUCUCUUCUCUUUCUUCUCUCUCCUCUCCUCUUCUCUCUUCUCUCUCUCUCUUUUUGAGAAGCAGAGGGUGGGGGGAGACCCAGGGAGAGGCCCCCAACAUAGAGGUGAAGAGAGCCCCAGAGAAGCUGUGCGUCCUCUCAAACGGAAUUUUCCACGCAGGAAAAAAAAAGAAUGAAGCCGGACAGUCAGGCUUAGAGGUCAAGAGGGAGUGACGGGGAUCUGCCUUCAGAUCCCCAUGGCAACGGCAACAACAACAACGCUGGUAUCUCCAGAGCACGCAGUGAAUGCAGGGCAUCAAGGAAACAGAAGAGCGCCAGGGGGCUAAGAGCACCAGCCUUGAACCCCAGCAUCCAGGGAUGACCUUUGGAGCCACGCCCCUCUCAGAACUUCACGACUCAACUUCGCAUUCCGCGGGGUAGCUGUGUGAGGCGGUGCUUUCACAAACCCAUUUGACAGCGGGGCAAAGUGAGGCAUGCGGAAGUCGCCCAAGACGGCACAGCUGGGCACUGCAGGGACCCAAGCACUUGAGCUGCCCUCUCAGGUCUGCCUCAGCAACAAGCCGGAUUGGAAGCAGGAGAGCAUGAACUUGAACCUGCAUUCUGAUACACAGUGUGGACACACCCGAGAGGCAGCUUCAUUCCCUGCAGCACACUCACAGCCCCAGUGGUGGCUCAGCACCGUCCUGUGAGCUUAGGUGGAGGUGGGAAAGUUGGGGACGGGACACGGAGGCCAACAGUUAUCCUCAUUGGUCUCUGGCUUUGAAUUUCCUGAAUGUGUUGGGUUUUGGGGUUUUUUUUUAGGACUUACUUACUUAUCCAGAGGGAGAGGGAGAAAGAGGGAGAGAGGAGAGGAAACGUCCACCCUCUGGUGCCUUCCCCAAAUGCCCACAACAGCCAGGGCUGAGCUAAGCCAAAGCCAGGAGCCAAGAGCUCCAUCCAGGUCUCUGAGUACCUAGGCCAUCUUCUGCUGCCUUCCCAGGUGCAUCAGCAGGAAGCUGGAUUGGAAGUAGAGCAGCCAGGACUUAGACCCACACUCCAGUAUGGGAUGCCGGUAUCAUGAGUAGUGGCUUAUGCUGCUCUCAUGGAUUUCCUGGCUUUGGAUCCAGCUGGGAUGGAACCACACAGCUCGCACCACUGACCCUCAGCAGCCUCAUCUGCACCUCAGAGCACUGAAUGAGGUGGCAAACCCUGCACGCGGGGCCAGCCCCAGCCCCCCAGGAGGCUUACUGAAGCCUAUAGCACACCUUGGCAGCCGGGGCUUUCCUGGGCUGGGCUGGCCACACCGGGACACUUCCUUGCCAGCGGCUCCUGUGGACACUUGAGAUUAACAGCCCAUUGUUGUGGUGUCACCCGAGCCGGCUGGCUUCCACAGGUGUGCCCAGGAGACCAUGAGGACCAGCCGGGCAUGCUGUCCUAGUGGAAGCAGCGGGGACUUUCCCCUCCCCGAGGUCUCUGCGAGGGCAGGUCAGGGGGAGGUCCACGCUGACCCCUUCCUGGCCGGCCAGCAAAAACAGGACAAUUGUGGGUGUCUGUGGCACCAGUUCCUGUCUGUCUGCUCUGUUUUCCAGUUCAAAGAGCAAGUGUAGCUGUCUCAUUGUCACCAGCUUCCCCCACUCAUUCACUCUCUCGUUCGGCAAAUAUUUACCGAACACCUGCCAUGUGGCAAUGUAUGUGCCCAGCACAAAGGAUGCACACAGAGCAGUGAGGUCUAGGCCUCCUGCCUCUGCAGAAGAAUGAAUCUGCCCAGAACUGGGUGAGCAAGGGACAGGGGGCAGCUCCAGACAGAAGGCUUCUCUGCAGAGGUGAGCUUUGAGCCAAGACUGGAAUGACAAGAGGGUUCCCAUGCCAAGAAAGGCGCGGCAGGCCCAUGGAGUAGUGUGUGCACAAGCUCUGAGGAGCGGGCGGGGUGUGGUGCCGUGGGUGAAGCGGCCCCUCAGAAUGCUGGCUUUGAGCUUCUGCUCCUCUGCUUCUGACCCAGCUCCGUGCUAACGCGCCUGGGAAGGCAGCAGGUGAUGGCCCGAGGACCUGAGUCCCUGCCACCCACAUGGGAGACCCAGAUGGGAUUUCCAGCUUCUGAUUCUCAGCCUCAGCACCAGCCCUGGCUGUCACGGGCAUUGCAGGGAAUGAAACAGGGGAUGCGAGGGCUCUCUCCCCACCUUUCCACCUGUCAAAAUUAAUUCACUAAUUCAAAGUGUUUUGGGUGCAAGAAACUUUCUGAAAGCCAUGCCUACUUCUGUCUCUGUGCCUUUUCCACAUAUUUCUCAAAGGCCUCAUCUACGCCCAGAUUUUUAAAAAAAUGCACCAAAAUAAACAACUUUUCUUUCCA